rnacentral:lncRNA from 1 species
GAAUCAUCAGACGUCUAAGUGACUGAAGUCCCUUUGUGACGCGGUGAAUAAAGAACGUUGUUUCCGUUCCUUCCGGACUGCGAACACAGGUCUACAAACACGCUCCCCAAAAGCAGGUGUCAUCGGGGAUGAGGACAGACGUGAAAGGCGUGAUGUAAGGUCAUGUUUUGGAAGAACGGGUAACUGCAGCCCGCAAUUCGGGCGUUCCUACAUUUGAAGCAGCCUACCGUCCUCCACCGUCCUCCACCGUCCUCAUGGCUGAAGAGAUCAGGAAAAUAGGUGCUCUGCUAGAUCAGCCUCUGAGUGAGAAAGACCAAGAACUCAUCACUUACGUCAAGCACAAGUUUUCCACCGACUUCAAAAAAGACCACAGUUACUUCUCUGAGAAGGUUGUUACCCGCAGUGACACAAAGUAUGGCCUCAAACAAAAUGGCCAGGCCAGGAAGAACUAUUACAGGAGACAGGAGCUGCUCAGUAAAGGCUUUUUCUCCCCUGUCAACAAGUAUGAAACAUAAUACACUGAGUAUACAAAACAUUAAGAACACCUUGGAAUCCAUGAUGUCUGUGUGUAUAUACACUCUAAACUUAAAGCAUUGCCUUGUCCCUUGGAUAGACCAUACAAAACAGUGGGAAUGCUUUACUCUGACAACGUUGAUCUCUUCUCAACCUGGCUCACAUCAGAGGACCAAAAGUCACUGAAGACACAGUGGGACAAGAAGUUUGGAAAAAAGACAGUGAUCUCCAGCAAAUUCACUCAGGAGAAGACUAAAAAGGAGGAGAACGUCAGAGCCCCUCCAGUGGAGAACCUGAAUGGUUUCUUCCAGCUGAAGCAGUACAUGAGAGAGAUGGUCUCCAUCAGACACGCUCUCCACACUGGACGCCCCCUCAUAUAUUGCCUCAGGGACCAGGAUAAACCGUUACUGCUAAUGAAGAAACCUGUGCCUCCUAAGACACCAUGUGACCGAGCCAUAUCAGCUGAUAAAGAGACUAUAGCACCAUUGUCCAUGAACCAACAGGCACUGGACCCAGAGGAAGAGGAGAACCUACAGAGGAUACAGUACAGGAAGCAGAAGCUGUUCUUAGAGAAACUCCAGUGGAUUUACAUGGUCCUGUGUGGCAUCUCUCACAUGCGAAACAGAGACCUGAAGACACUGUUGUUGAUGUGUGCAGAGGGUCCCGGGUUCGAGCCCAGGUUGGGGCGAAGAGAGGGACGGAACCUACACUGUUACACAGUCACACGUCAUAUUGCAGAGUCUACCGGACUACCUCUGGGAUGUGUUAGGAAGGCGUUUAAUAGUAACAGAACCUUCCAGGUUCCUCUCAACAGCAGCUAUGUGAACAUCAUCAUGAAGGACACAGAGAAGACCAACAUCCUGUUGAAGCAGUCGCACAGCUACAACCCUCCGUUGAAUUACACCAGGCAGCUGGUGUCCCUGGCCCCCGAGGACUGUCACAGCAUCAGCCGUGACGUGUGGGACACCUUUAUCAGCCACCAGGACACCACAGAGCCCUCGAAGUUAACCACCAUCCGAACCGCAGGAUAUAAAGCUCUGCAGUCGGGGCCCAGGCGCAAGGUUGGCCAGAGAGAGCCAGACGGAGAUGGAUACAUGCCCCCAUGGCUGCUGCUGGAUGAGAACACGUCCCUAGAGAAGAAAACAGUAAAGCCUGGUGUAGACCAGUCAGGCAUGCUGGAGAGAGCCAAGGCCCAAUACCGGGAUGUGAAGAAAGUUCUGAACGUCCCGAUGGAGUCCAUAGUGUUUCAAAAGAGAAAGAACCGAGGGGAGAGGAUGAGAACUCUUUUCAAUGCUCUAAUGGCCUCAAAGACCAACGCUGGUCUGUCCUCACUCCUUACCUCUCUGAAGAGUGAGCUGAAGGAGCCCAAAUCCACCACAGGUCUCUGGUUUGCGACACUGCAGAGUGAUGCCACAGAAUUGUCCGGAGACAGAGACUCCAAAUACAACAGCAUACUGCAGAAGAUCUCAGAGUUUCAAAGCUUCUCCAACAAAAAGCUCCCCUACUCCAAGGAGAAGUUCUGUCUCCUGGUCCUCUCCAUGUCACCCAAUCAGCUGCUUCGACCGGCCAUGCAGGAAGCACUGCUCUUCCUCACGGAGAACGUGCUGCUGUUGUUGCCGCGGCACCUCAAACAGUGGUACCAGUACCUGAAGCUCCCAUUCCCCACCACGGCAACCGCCUCCUAAAAAAGAAAAGGGAUCCGCCUACCUACACUGAUGCUCUGUGUUCUUCACUACCUGUCUACAAUGUGGGCCUGGGACUUACAGGCCUGAGUUGAGUCUGAAAUGGUUCUUUAUCCUCAACAUAGCCCCCUAUAUUGGGGAAUAUAGUCAUUUCAGACAGCCCUAGGUUCUUGGUGGGAUAGUCAAUGUUGGGGGCUCAGGUAAAGACUAUCUGUUCACUGGUUGAGCCAU